rnacentral:tRNA from 1 species
GGCCUCGUAGCUUAAAGGAUAGAGCCACUGCACACGAAGGGUGAGGUCCGGGUUCGAGUCCCGGCGGGGCUU